rnacentral:rRNA from 1 species
AUACGGAGGGGGCUAGCGUUGUUCGGAAUUACUGGGCGUAAAGCGCGCGUAGGCGGGCUGGUAAGUUGGGGGUGAAAUCCCAGGGCUCAACCCUGGAACUGCCCUCAAUACUGCCAGUCUUGAGUUCGAGAGAGGUAAGUGGAAUUCCUAGUGUAGAGGUGAAAUUCGUAGAUAUUAGGAAGAACACCAGUGGCGAAGGCGGCUUACUGGCUCGAUACUGACGCUGAGGCGCGAAAGCGUGGGGAGCAAACAGGAUUAGAAACCCCAGUAGUCC